UUUUUCUCCUCUAAAAGAUAACCGAUUUCUUCUGGUGCAUAGAGCCCGCUGCAGCCUUCUAGCACCAUUUGAAAUCGGUUAUGAAACUGUGGAUCAAUGC
rnacentral:miRNA from 1 species